ACAACAGGUGGAGCCUGCGGUUUAAUCGGACUCAACGCCGGGAAACUCACCAGAUAAGACAGCUGAAUGAUAGUCGGGCUGAAGACUCUACUUGACUAGCUGAGAGGAGGUGCAUGGCCGUCGUCAGUUCGUACUGUGAAGCAUCCUGUUAAGUCAGGCAACGAGCGAGACCCACGCCAACAGUUGCCAGCUCGUCCUCCGGGAUGGUGGGGGACACUGUUGGGACCGCCUCUGCUAAAGAGGAGGAAGGAAUGGGCAACGGUAGGUCAGCAUGCCCCGAAUUAUCUGGGCUACACGCGGGCUACAAUGGGUGGGACAAUGGGUAUCGACACCGAAAGGUGAAGGCAAUCUCCUAAACCCAUCCUUAGUUCGGAUUGUGGGCUGCAACUCGCCCACAUGAAGCUGGAAUCUGUAGUAAUCGUGUUUCAAAAUAGCACGGUGAAUAUGUCCCUGCUCCUU
rnacentral:rRNA from 1 species